rnacentral:piRNA from 1 species
UGAAAACACGCCCCUUGAGGUUAUCCGAC